rnacentral:rRNA from 1 species
CAGCCGCGGGAAUACGGAGGGUGCAAGCGUUAAUCGGAAUUACUGGGCGUAAAGCGCACGCAGGCGGUCUGACAAGUCAGAUGUGAAAUCCCCGGGCUUAACCUGGGAACUGCAUUUGAAACUGUCAGGCUGGAGUCUUGUAGAGGGGGGUAGAAUUCCAGGUGUAGCGGUGAAAUGCGUAGAGAUCUGGAGGAAUACCGGUGGCGAAGGCGGCCCCCUGGACAAAGACUGACGCUCAGGUGCGAAAGCGUGGGGAGCAAACAGGAUUAGAGACCCCGGUAGUCCCUGUCUCUUAUACACA